rnacentral:rRNA from 1 species
AAACGCUUGAAGUCAGUCGCGUUAUCUGGGGAUCAGCCUUCCUUUUGGUUGGUGUACUUCCCAGUUGACGGGUCAGCAUCAGUUUUGACCAGUGGAUAAAAGCUAGAGGAAUGUGGCAUCUUCGGGUGUGUUAUAGCC